ensembl:lncRNA
AUGGCCGUGCGCGCGGACCGGAUGAAGUUGCCAUGGAAACGGAGGGCAACACUGCAAAUGUCACGAGGAAACACCCCGUUUCUCGCUGAUUUCACUGUUUUCAGGAAUGGUUUAAUGUCUUCGAAAAAGUCCGUUAGCAUUUCUACCGUUUUCAGACGACGUAUCGUCAGAUUCUUCAGUGCUGAUGGCCUGCUGCAUCCAGCAGAGUCGGAGUGAACCUACUGUAAGACAACAUCUCCAAGAUGCUAUUGACCACAAGACUAGUACAGUAAGUCAAACCUCAAAUAUACAGUACACUAGUGUUCAAAAGCUUGAAGUUGAUACAAUUUGUAAUAAUUAUCUUCUGCUCACCUCUGUAGUAAUUAUUUGAUUAAAAUAUGUAAAAAGAGUAAUAUUGUGAAAUAUUAUUACAAUUUAAAAUAGCUGUUUUCUAUGUGA